GUCUACGGCCAUACCACCCUGAACGCACCCGAUCUCGUCUGAUCUCGGAAGCCAAGCAGAGUCGGGCCUGGUUAGUACUUGGAUGGGAAUUUAUAACUAAGGGUGCUGCAGCCU
rnacentral:rRNA from 1 species